rnacentral:rRNA from 1 species
GUCGAACGGUAACAUUUCUAGCUUGCUAGAAGAUGACGAGUGGCGGACGGGUAGUAAUGCUUGGGAACUUGCCUUUGCGAGGGGGAUAACAGUUGGAAACGACUGCUAAUACCGCAUAACGUCUUCGGACCAAACGGGGCUUAGGCUCCGGCGCAAAGAGAGGCCCAAGUGAGAUUAGCUAGUUGGUAAGGUAACGGCUUACCAAGGCGACGAUCUCUAGCUGUUCUGAGAGGAAGAUCAGCCACACUGGGACUGAGACACGGCCCAGACUCCUACGGGAGGCAGCAGUGGGGAAUAUUGCACAAUGGGGGAAACCCUGAUGCAGCCAUGCCGCGUGUGUGAAGAAGGCCUUCGGGUUGUAAAGCACUUUCAGUUGUGAGGAAAAGUUAGUAGUUAAUACCUGCUAGCCGUGACGUUAACAACAGAAGAAGCACCGGCUAACUCCGUGCCAGCAGCCGCGGUAAUACGGAGGGUGCGAGCGUUAAUCGGAAUUACUGGGCGUAAAGCGCACGCAGGCGGUUUGUUAAGCUAGAUGUGAAAGCCCCGGGCUCAACCUGGGAUGGUCAUUUAGAACUGGCAGACUAGAGUCUUGGAGAGGGGAGUGGAGUUCCAGGUGUAGCGGUGAAAUGCGUAGAUAUCUGGAGGAACAUCAGUGGCGAAGGCGACUCCCUGGCCAAAGACUGACGCUCAUGUGCGAAAGUGUGGGUAGCGAACAGGAUUAGAUACCCUGGUAGUCCACACCGUAAACGCUGUCUACUAGCUGUGUGUGCCUUUAA